rnacentral:lncRNA from 1 species
CCAAUUCAGCAAUUGAAUUAUGCAUCCAAUGCUAGGCUCUCCUCCACAACCUCAAACCCCACUCUCUGGUUCACCCAAACCAGUAAACGUUUCGAUAUCAAUUCUGAAUUCCCUUCAACUUCCAUGUCUGCCCUUCUCCCACCAUUGACCUCUUCUUUUCUCUCUGCUCCUAUGGGGUUCAAGCCCUCUGAUACCCCUUCAAUCCCCUCCUUCACACGUAUCAAUGGGUCCCGAUAUUGGGAAACGGGUGCCUCCGCUAAUAACAGUAACAGCAGCAGCAGCACUGAGCUACAAAGCAACAAUUCCUUCUUUGAGAACAACAGUUACUCAUGGGGAUUGACCGACUGUAGUACAUCAGAGAAAGAGGCUCCAAAUCCAAUCCAUUUAAUGGAAACCCAAGCAGAUGAAAUUAAGUGGCCAGAGUAUCUCAAUAACCCAUUGUUAAUGGCGGCUGCUUUGCAAAAUCAAACCCCACAGUCCUUCUGCAAUA